GAUGAACGCUGGCGGCGUGCUUAAUACAUGCAAGUCGAACGGAAAGGCGAGGCUUUUGCGGGUCGGAUGUGAGCGGCGGGGGUGAGAAUCACGCGAGGAAAACGUCCCUGUCUGAGUGAGAUAUUCACGAAAAUGGGGCUAUUAUCGGAUAGGAUCUUUUGAUCCGCAGUGGGGAAAAGUAAGAUUCGGCGGUGGGGGAUGGUAUAGAGGGUUAUGAGCUUGUUGGUGUGGUUGUGGCUGACCAAGGUUUUGACGGCUAGCCGGCAUGAGAGGGUGACCGGCCACAUUGGGACUGCGAUACGGCGCAGACUCCUACGGGAGGCAGCAGUGGGGAAUAUUGCACAAUGGGCGGAAGCCUGAUGCAGAAACGCCGCGUGCGGGAUGACGGCCUUCGGGUUGUAAACCGCUUUCGCCUGUGACGAAGCGUGAGUGACGGUAAUGGGUAAAGAAGCACCGGCUAACUACGUG
rnacentral:rRNA from 1 species